AGUUCUGUAUCACAUUUUCAAUUGGGUUCCUUAUGUUCUUGAUGUUCAGGGUUGGGUUUUUUGUUUGUUUGUUUGUUUUGUUUUGUUUUGUUUUUUUGUUUUUUUGGGGGGGGUUUGUUGUUUUUUGGUUACUUGUUUAGUUCUUUAUAUAUUUCAGAUACUAACCCUCUGUCAGAUGCAUAAUUGAUUCAGGGUGUCAGACCUCAUGUUGAGAUCGUUGAUCCAUUUGGAGUUGAAUGUUUUGCAGAUGCAUAUGGAUCUAUUUAAAUUCCUCUACAAGCAAUCAUCUAGUUUGAAUGAACCAUUUGCUUCGGUGAUGGACUGCAUUGCAAUUUUGAUGGGGAUGUCAUUGACUCUGUAGAUUGCUUUUGGCAUCCAGUUAGACCAACACCAUUGACUGAAGUUGCUUUCUUUUUCCAUUGUAUAAUUUUGCCUUCUUUGUCAAAGACCAAAUUAAAGGAAACCAAAGUGUGUUGGAUAAACACAGAAGCAGAUUUCCAGAAGAGAAAAAAAGCAGGAGCAAAUGUAAAAGAAAACUGAAGAGUGUAUAUCAUGCUUGGACAUAAAUGGAAUUUCCCCAUCCCCCAGCCCCGUGAAGAGAGCAAGAAGCAAAGCGGCACAUUCUGUGAGCUAGGUCACUGCUAUGUCUUUGAGAUGGUCUGGGGCAAUGAUGGUCAUCUGCCAAAACUGACUGCAAGCCUCAUCCUCAUCUUUCAGGCAGUUCAAACUUAACCUACAUCCUACAAGGUGCCUUGACAGAAUUGCUUGCUGGUUAAACGACUUUGUGUACUUGACCCUUGCUUCUUUUAUCUGUUCAGUAGGGGACCAAAUUUCCAACACAUGAGCUUUCUGGAAACACAUUUAAGUACACACAACCAUCGCCAUUGUUAUCAAGAGGCUUCAUUGAAACCACUGCAGAGAAGAUAUUCCAGUAAGAGAAUUCCAGUUGAACUCAACAAGGCAUUUCCAACUAGCAAUCCACAGUCCAAAUGCAUCCUGGGAUACCUACUGAUGUGGACCAAUGCAUCUGUAGAUGACAAUGUCAUAUCCUGAAGUCAACAGGCUGGACAGCUCUGAAAGGAUUCCGUAAACAUGGCACUCUGCUCCUCUCCUCAGGACUAAAGUAUUCGUUCCUUCAGUUGCCUGGAAUGUUGGCAGCUGAGCAUCUUCCUAAUAGGGGAAGAGCUCUGCCUCCCAAAGCCCAGGCCCUUUCCUGGGAGUGCGCAGGAAUAAUAACAGGUGGCUGAUCCAGAAUCCUCAAUAGAAACAACAAAAGCCUUUGUUGCCAAGGCACUGCAGUCAACCCAACCAACUCCACCCCCAACCCACGCAACACCUGCAUGUACCUAAGCCUGUGCACUGAACCCGAGCUUCUUCCACAGGUGUUGAUCCUAAGAGCACUCCUAAUAAAGUCCGCUCAAGUAUCUCUA
rnacentral:lncRNA from 1 species